GACGAACGCUGGCGGCGUGCCUAAUACAUGCAAGUCGAGCGCAGGAAACUGACGGAACUCUUCGGAGGGAAGGCAGUGGAAUGAGCGGCGGACGGGUGAGUAACACGUAAGGAGCCUGCCUCAAGGAUUGGGAUAACUCCGAGAAAUCGGAGCUAAUACCGGAUAGUUCAACGGACCGCAUGGUCCGCUGAGGAAAGGCCUCCCGGCGUCACAUUGAGAUGGCCUGGCGGUGCAUUAGCUAGUUGGUGGGGUAACGGCCCACCAAGGCGACGAUGCAUAGCCGACCUGAGAGGGUGAUCGGCCACACUGGGACUGAGACACGGCCCGGACUCCUACGGGAGGCAGCAGUAGGGAAUCUUCCACAAUGGACGAAAGUCUGAUGGAGCAACGCCGCGUGAGUGAUGAAGGUUUUCGGAUCGUAAAACUCUGUUGUAAGGGAAGAACACGUACGAGAGGAAAUGCUCGUACCUUGACGGUACCUUACGAGAAAGCCACGGCUAACUACGUGCCAGCAGCCGCCGUAACAC
rnacentral:rRNA from 1 species